CGCAGGCGGCGCCAUUUUGUGCUAGGAGCCUGAUAAAACCGGCCCGGUUCUGUGGAAAGUGGGCGGCGGAGCCAGGGUCCCUGGAAUGGCGGAGACUCUGUCAGGCCUAGGUGAUUCUGGAGCGGCGGGCGCGGCGGCUCUGAGCUCCGCCUCGUCAGAGACCGGGACGCGGCGCCUCAGCGACCUGCGAGUGAUCGAUCUGCGGGCGGAGCUGAGGAAACGGAAUGUGGACUCGAGCGGCAACAAGAGCGUUUUGAUGGAGCGGCUGAAGAAGGCAAUUGAAGAUGAAGGUGGUAAUCCUGACGAAAUUGAAAUUACCUCCGAGGGAAACAAGAAAACAUCAAAGAGGUCUAGCAAAGGGCGCAAACCAGAAGAAGAGGGUGUGGAAGAUAACGGGCUGGAGGAAAACUCUGGGGAUGGACAGGAGGAUGUUGAGACCAGUCUGGAGAACUUGCAGGACAUCGACAUCAUGGAUAUCAGUGUGUUGGAUGAAGCAGAAAUUGAUAAUGGAAGCGUGGGAGAUUGUGUCGAAGACGAUGAUGCUGAUAACCUCCAGGAGUCCCUGUCGGAUAGUAGAGAGCUAGUCGAGGGGGAAAUGAAAGAGCUUCCGGAGCAGCUUCAGGAACAUGCUAUAGAGGACAAAGAAACUAUAAACAAUUUAGAUACUUCAUCAUCUGACUUCACUAUAUUACAGGAAAUUGAAGAGCCAUCCCUGGAGCCAGUUCUCCCGAAGAUGACUCGGAUACAAAAAGGCUUUCCAAAGAGGAAAAGGGUCGCAGCAGUUGUGGUAGAAAUUUCUGGGUUAGUGGACUCUCUUCUACAACCAGAGCUACAGAUUUGAAGAAUCUUUUCAGCAAAUAUGGGAAGGUGGUGGGCGCCAAGGUUGUGACAAAUGCCCGGAGUCCUGGAGCUCGCUGUUACGGUUUUGUCACGAUGUCCACAGCAGAAGAGGCCACAAAAUGCAUUAACCACCUGCACAAGACGGAGCUCCACGG
rnacentral:sRNA from 1 species